UCUGUUUUUUUUUGGUACGUCUAUGACCGGUAGUUUUGUCUCGGGAUCAUUACACAAAUAUGAAGGCGGGCUGGAACCUCUCGGGGUUACAGCCUUGCUGAAUUAUUCACCCUUGUCUUUUGCGUACUUCUUGUUUCCUUGGUGGGUUCGCCCACCACUAGGACAAACAUAAACCUUUUGUAAUUGCAAUCAGCGUCAGUAACAAAUUAAUAAUUACAACUUUCAACAACGGAUCUCUUGGUUCUGGCAUCGAUGAAGAACGCAGCGAAAUGCGAUAAGUAGUGUGAAUUGCAGAAUUCAGUGAAUCAUCGAAUCUUUGAACGCACAUUGCGCCCUUUGGUAUUCCAAAGGGCAUGCCUGUUCGAGCGUCAUUUGUACCCUCAAGCUUUGCUUGGUGUUGGGCGUCUUGUCUCUAGCUUUGCUGGAGACUCGCCUUAAAGUAAUUGGCAGCCGGCCUACUGGUUUCGGAGCGCAGCACAAGUCGCACUCUCUAUCAGCAAAGGUCUAGCAUCCAUUAAGCCUUUUUUUCAACUUUUGACCUCGGAUCAGGUAGGGAU
rnacentral:rRNA from 1 species